CCUACGGGUGGCAGCAGUGAGGAAUAUUGGUCAAUGGACGAGAGUCUGAACCAGCCAAGUAGCGUGAAGGAUGACUGCCCUAUGGGUUGUAAACUUCUUUUAUAAAGGAAUAAAACGAGGCACGUGUGCCUUUUUGCAUGUACUUUAUGAAUAAGGAUAGGCUAACUCCGUGCCAGCAGCCGCGGUAAUACGGAGGAUCCGAGCGUUAUCCGGAGUUAUUGGGUGUAAGGGGAGCGUAGAUGGGUUGUUAAGUCAGUUGUGAAAGUUUGCGGCUCAACCGUGAAAUUGCAAUUGAUACUGGGAGUCUGGAGUACAGUAGAGGUAGGCGGAAUUCGUGGUGUAGCGGUGAAAUGCUUAGAUAUCACGAAGAACCCCGAUUGCGAAGGCAGCUUGCUAAACUGUGACUGACAUUGAUGCUCGAAAGUGUGGGUAUCAAACAGGAUUAGAUACCCCUGUAGUC
rnacentral:rRNA from 1 species